rnacentral:rRNA from 1 species
UACAGAGGUCUCAAGCGUUGUUCGGAUUCAUUGGGCGUAAAGGGUGCGUAGGCGGCGCGGUAAGUCGGGUGUGAAAUCUUGGAGCUCAACUCUGAAACUGCACUCGAUACUGCUUUGCUUGAGGACUGGAGAGGAGAUUGGAAUUCACGGUGUAGCAGUGAAAUGCGUAGAUAUCGUGAGGAAGACCAGUGGCGAAGGCGGAUCUCUGGACAGUU